CACCAUGUUCACACACAUAGGCAGAACAGAACGGAUGGGGUUGAUGAGGGUAGAAGUGUGCUGAGGGGGUGCACCGCCUGGAGCCCGCCUCGACGGGCAAAACAUCUCGCCCAUAGAUCAAAGACCCUCGACAUCUCUGAGCCAUCCUGAGAGAAAGAAGGGAAGAAAAGCGGUGGAGAGCCAGUGCUUCUAGUGACUGGCACGGUGUAAUCCCCCUCGGGCGUAGACAAGCCGGGAGGCAGAAAUGGAAUGGAGGGGAGAGCGAUGACAGGAGGUCCGGCUCCUAAUUAUCCCAGAAGUUACUGUGUUAGAGAUUACCUGUACAAAUAUGAGGAAACGGCGUGCUGUAUGUCAGGUGCCACGGGCCAGUGUGUGUGGGACCAGUGGGAGUGGCAAGGCGCCAGGCUGCCCUUAUCAGCCCCUACGGCCCAGUCACCGCUCCCGAGAGACGGCCGGGGAGGGAGCCAGGAGUCCCUUUGUUGUUUUCUCUGAUCUACGACCGGCCUUUAUGGCAUGCUCUAGAUCACUAUCACUGUGGGAAAGACAGAAAGAAGGCCCUGGGAGGGUGUGCGUGUGUGUUUAUGUGUGUGAUCGACCGAACAACCUCUGCCUUUGACUCUCCGACAACUAUCGCAGGGCCUGUCGCUGCUGAUAUUGCUCAUAAAGAAGCCCUCGACCAGCUGCAGGGACGCGGGCGGAUGAUAAGAGUGAACUCUGACCUCUCGGUUCACCAGUCACACUAACAACACAGACAUCAAUGAAGUCAUGAGAAAAGAUGCCUACAUACGCCAUUUGCAUGAUCGUGGCACAAUGAAGACUGUCUUGACCCAAAUAAAUUUGAAGGAUUGCAGUUUUAAAGGUAUGAAUUGGUU